rnacentral:lncRNA from 1 species
CCAACUUUAAUGAUAGACUUUACUUCCCACGUCCGAGCCCGCAAGCCGCUCGAACUCGGAAGUCGGGGGGUAGUGUUGGGGGAAUAAGAUUUUUUUCCCCAAGUGACACGAAUGCCCCCAAGAAGCCGCACAAUCGCCGACCCUGAACAGCCAAAGUCGGCGUCCGACCUCGGAACGCCCGACCUCAAGACAUCCGACCUCGAGACCUCCGACCUAGGAAAAUUCUGAUGCUCAAGGUCUACCCUUGUCAGCCACCUACUACGGCCGUACUCCUCCGAGGUCCAACUAAGGACCAUAUCCUGCCGCUGCUUCAGCAUUUAUUGCGCAUGGCUACUGUAAACCUCCAGUUCACUCAACAAUCAAUGCGGAUCUCCGGCUUACUCCACAAUUAAUGCGGAUCUCCGGCCUACUCUGCAAUUAAUGCGGAUCUCCGGCUUACUCCACAUUUAAUGCGUAUGGCUCCUGUCAUCUACGGACUCUCAGCUCUCCACGGCAAGUUAGCCCAGCAGAGUCUGG